AUUUCAACCCUCAAGCCCCAGCCUGGCUUGGUGUUGGGGACCGGCCCCUGGCCGCCCCCCAAAUGCAGUGGCGACCUCGCCGCAGCCUCCCCUGCGUAGUAGCACAACCUCGCACCGGAGCGCGGAGACGGUCACGCCGUAUUUCGCCCAACUUCUCAGAGUUGACCUCGGAUCAGGUAGGAAUAGUUUCUGAACUUAA
rnacentral:sRNA from 1 species